rnacentral:pre_miRNA from 1 species
AGUGGGAUUGCUGGAUUAUAUGGUACUUCUAGCUUUUAAAGGAAGCACCAAAUUGUUUUCCAAAGUGGUUGUACCAUUUUACAUUCCCAUCAGCAGU